rnacentral:rRNA from 1 species
UUUUAUGGAGAGUUUGAUCCUGGCUCAGGAUGAACGCUGGCGGCGUGCCUAAUACAUGCAAGUCGAGCGAACGGACGAGAAGCUUGCUUCUCUGAUGUUAGCGGCGGACGGGUGAGUAACACGUGGAUAACCUACCUAUAAGACUGGGAUAACUUCGGGAAACCGGAGCUAAUACCGGAUAAUAUUUUGAACCGCAUGGUUCAAAAGUGAAAGACGGUCUUGCUGUCACUUAUAGAUGGAUCCGCGCUGCAUUAGCUAGUUGGUAAGGUAACGGCUUACCAAGGCAACGAUGCAUAGCCGACCUGAGAGGGUGAUCGGCCACACUGGAACUGAGACACGGUCCAGACUCCUACGGGAGGCAGCAGUAGGGAAUCUUCCGCAAUGGGCGAAAGCCUGACGGAGCAACGCCGCGUGAGUGAUGAAGGUCUUCGGAUCGUAAAACUCUGUUAUUAGGGAAGAACAUAUGUGUAAGUAACUGUGCACAUCUUGACGGUACCUAAUCAGAAAGCCACGGCUAACUAC